rnacentral:lncRNA from 12 species
AUGCAGGUUUUAGAGGCCCUGCCAAUCAGCCCCUCGCUUCCUGGCAGCUUCCUGAACAGCGGCACACAGUUACCAUGCACCAGGGUUUCCGGGCUCACUGCCGUAGCUGGACCAUCCUUUCCCCCUCACGGCCGUGACUGUCAGGAAUAUUUGUUACCCAAAACGGUUUAUAUAUUUGAAAUAUAUUGUGUUUGAAAGCCGAACCAUGUGAGUUUCACUGUGAGUAGCUACUGUUGUUAGAGACCAGAGGCGAGAUGACAAAUAAGACGGCACAACGGUCACAGAAUGGCUCUUGCCAUUUCAGGUGAGUUCUGGUGAGUUCACUAUGAUAUCUGAACUACCGAACACUCAGUAAAUAGCAGCUAUUCUCACAAAUAUUACUUUCCAGGCAGAUUAUUGAUCCGAGACAAUAGGGUGGGAUUGGUGCUCUGACGGGAUGUAGAGGAAGCACCUGACCCACAGGUUAAGACG